rnacentral:misc_RNA from 1 species
AAGUCGUAACAAGGUUUUCGUAGGUGAACCUGCGAAAGGAUCAUUACCGAAUGAUAACAAUACACUUUGUGUUUUGUUGAAGGCAAAGGCUACUUUGGUAGUCAAGUUACUUGCGGCGAGCGUUUCACGACGCAACCUACUUGUGACGGCAGUGGCCAGUCCCAGUGACAAACAACUGUUCUCGAGCACUUCGGCGCCCUGUGUUUAAAAAGGAAUCCAAAAGCAGAAACAACUGCAAACGGUGGAUCACUCGGCUC